AAGGUGUUGGAAGUUUUCCUAUAGAAAAUGGGGCCCUGAAAAAAGCUAGUAGGUAGAGGUGAGAUGGGAAAAUAUUCCAGGAAUGGAAGACAACCAGAAAAAAGUGACUAGAGCAGAGAGAUGGAGUGUCUUGUUUGUGGGACCAGUGUCACUGGAUCAAAGAGUUCAUGGCUAGAAGGUACAAGACUGGAAAGGCGGGAGAUUGGAAUGUGCUUGCUUGGUUAUUAAGGACUCUUAACAGCAGAAUAUUUUGUAUUUGAUAUUGAGGGAGCCACUGGAGUUUACUCCAGGGGAAAUGAUACGAACUUUAGGAAAAUCACUAGCAGGCUAUUGCAAUAGCCCAAUUUCAAGGCAAUAAGGACUUGUAACAGGAUGGUGGUACUAUCAGAGGAGAUGGGGGGACAUAUGAGAUAUGUUACAAAGGUGAAAUUGAUAGGCUUUGGCAACAAACUCACUGGCAAGCUGUUGCAAUAGACCAGGCAUGAGGUGAUGGGGGCUGGUACCUGGGUGGUGGCAAUUAUCAAAGGAGAGUAGGGGACACAGUAAAGAUAUGAUGCAAAGAUGAAAUCAACAGGUCUUGGCCACAGAUAGGAUUCAGGAAGUGAGAGAUUGUGAAAAGUGGAGGAAGUCACCUAGGAUGUGAGCCUGGGGGGCUAAAAGGAUGAUGGUGUCCUAGGCAGUAAUGCGAAAAUGUGUAUGUGUGUUGGGGGAGGGGGAAACAGAAUGGGUUCAAUUUUGGACAGACUGAGUUUAAGAUAUCUAAUGAACAUCCAGUUCCAGAUUUCAGCAGAGAUAGAGGGAAGGAUAGAUAGAUUUAAGAAUCAUUUGCAUUGAUAACUAAAUCUAUGGGAGCAUAGAUCACCCAGUGAAGAUAGAGGAGAAAGCCCAGGACAAGGCCUGAUGGAACAUCUAAAAUUGUGCUUUAAAAAAUGACUAAAGACAUAUUUUCAGACUAUGCUGUAAAGACUUGGAUGAACUAAUGAAAGUAAUGUCAGGGAGAAACAUGUAUAGUUAACAACGAUGUAAAGGCAAAUUCUGAUCAACAAGGACCAACAAUGAUUCCACAAUAUUCAUAAUAAAAAAAAUGCUACCCAUCUUCUGAAGGAGAUGGACUCAAAACGAACAUUGAAACAUACUUUUUGGACAUGGUCAAUUUGAGAUUUUUUUUUUUUUUUGCUCGACUAUGCAAAUCUGUCACACAAAGGUAUUGUUUUUCUUUUUCGAUGGGGGGAAGGUAUUUUUGUCCGUUAAAAAAAAAAAAAGUUGUGAUAAAAUGUAAAAUUACUUCCUAAUAGAAAUAUUAAAAUACAUAAAAAUAAAGUUCUUAAAAAGGAAAACUUAACACAGUAAUUCACAUGUCAUUAUCCUCCUCCCAAUCUCAUAAUCUGAUUUGUCCAGAAUCCCGUAUGGGAGUGGGAAUAAAUACGGAAGUAUGUCACAGUGUUUUCGCUAUCCAGAAUGUCUUUCUUAACUAGAGCUCUGGCUAAGUCAAUCAACUAGGACUUAUUUAAGUAUCUACUAAGUGACAGGUUAAGUGCUGGGGAUAAGAACAAAAGCAAAAGGUAGCUCAGUCUCUUAAAGACCACCCAAGGAUGGAUGGCUAUGUAAAAAUAUGAAAACAAUGCAAUAACAAGGCACAAAUGAGAUAAAUUGGAUAUAAUCAACAAAGGUAAGGCACCAAAAUUUAGGGGAAUAGGGAAAAGCUCCCUCUGGGAUCUUAGCUGUAAGUUUAAGAAGACUAAAAAUGCUAGGAGAAAGAGCCAAAGAAAAUAACAGAAAAAAAAGGGGGGGAAAACUUGUUUAAACUUUAUCAAGGAUUCCAGCACUCCAAUGGGCCCACCAGCUGGAGAUCAGUAACACCCACGGGACAGGCCUGGAGUUCAAUUCAGAAAACAUUAAUUAGGUUCCUACCACAUUUAGAGGCAAAAAAAGGCGAAGGGGAGGGGAGCGGCGCGCAUCAGCUGAAAGGAGGGGAUGGGGAAGAAGCAGCACAUCAUUGUGGGUGUUUAUUAUUAUGGUUAGGAAAGGGCAAAGUCAAGUGCGGCCUGCAAGGCAGACACCCCCACACACGCACGCCCGCGGCCCCCCAGGGCAGGGCAGCGUCGGAAAGAAUGGCCCGCUUCCUCCCUUCCCUGCCUCGCCCCCACUUAACCCUCUCCCUCCCCCGGCCCCACGCGGCCCGUCUCUCCCAGGUCCCCCCACCCACUCUCGGAGCCAGAAUGCCGCUUCCCGCUAGCAAUUUUCCUGACCCACCCCGCAGACCCGUUCGGUGGUCUAGGACCCAGAGAAAGGUACUCUCCGAAGCCCGAGGCAAUAGAGUGCGGAAGGUGCAGGAGACUAGAGGGGGCGACGCCUCCCUUCUCCCGCCGCUGCCACAAGGGAGAUAGGAGCGGGCCCCAUAGGACUGGGGAGAAGGUAGGGGGGAGGCGUGAAGCGGAGGCGGUUUUGAUUCCUCCGGGACUGCACGGCACCGGGCUCACCUGUUUUAUAUACAUGAUUCCUCGCUCCCGGCCCGGGAGAAAGACCCUCCCGGGACCCGCAGCUGCUUCUCCGCCAGUCAGGGCGGAAGCCAGUGGUAGCGACUACGAGAGGGGAAAGGUUCGGCGCCAAAGGCAAGCGUUCACAAACCGCGAGGGGAGGGGACCGCGAAGAUGAGCCAGGCUGAACCACGUGGUUGGAGGGGAUUAAAAAAACACGAAGGUUGAACUUGGACGCUGAGCUCUAAAUUGGUGCGCGGCUGUUUUUUUGUUUUGUUUUGUUUUGUUUUUUUUGGGGGGGAUGCAGAGCGCUUCGGGUCUACGGGCCUCUUCCUCAGUGCUCUAGAAAUGAUGUCAACUCACGUUUGUUAUCGUACUUGACUGAUUUCUUUUUUAUAAUGGAUGUUGCGCUUUCACUAUUGUGUCGGAGGAUUUUACUGAGAAGCAAAUGCAAAUUGACCGGGGGAAGGAAGGAGCACAAAACGCCUGAGGCUGUGCCAGGUUUUCUGUUGCUGCUUAAACUGGAGGAUGAGAAACUGGAUAAUCUGGGCUGGUAAAGUGAUCUUCCCCACCAUUCUAAUCUGCCUUGUAUAGUCUUUGUAAGUAGGUAUCUUAAUAAUCAUUAAUAAUCAUUUAGCUCCUACUCUGCAGGCGCUAGGCUAAGGGCGCGAGAUACUAAAAGGCGCAAAGAUAGCUUCUGUUUUCUGGAAGCUUAAUCCGUAGAAUCUAAAUAAUGUUACAACUGGAAGGAACUUUAGAAAUCCAGAUUUCCCAUUAUUUGUUAUUUUUAUCAUUAUUUUGGAAUGAACUUCAGCGAACCGCUGAAUCAUCCUUUAUUUUUUUCUGAGCGUUUGGUAAUUUACAAAAACACCUUUGCUUCUAUCUCAUGGUUCACUUGUUCUGUCACUCAGUCGUGUCCUAUUCCUAUGACUUCAUUGUGCCCGUGAGGUUUUCUUGACAAAGAAAACCCCCCUUAAUUUAUUUGGACAUUACUUUCUAGCCCUAUCCUUGAGCUAUAGAAUUAACACAUCUGUGAUUGAAAGCCAAUAAGUGUUAUUUCCUUGGUACUUUUUCUUUGCUGUAUUCUUAGAAUUCAGUCUGCUCAGUAUUGGCGUCACUUUGCUUUUAAUAAAAUCUCUGCCCCUUGACUAGGAGAUGAAUUCAUGCCUGCAAAUUCUUUUGAGAUACUUCGCUACACCGGUCUGGGACUUUUGGGGUCCCCCUUCUCAACCUCAACAUUGCCCCCCCCCUCUCUUUUACUUAGUUCAAUUAAUAAAUAAAGUUCACCGGAUGGCACAAGCAGCAUCUUACUUGUCUUUGUAAAUUUCAGAACAGAUAAGACACUUAUUAAGCUUUUUAUGUGCUAAGUGCUGGAUAUACAAAUACAAGGCAAAGAAAAAAAAAAAAAAAAAAAGACAGCCCCUGCUUUUAAGAUGCUUACAUUCUAGUGGGAAAAACAAAACAUAGAGGGGACCAGGAAGAGGGGGGAAAGGGCACUCUGAUGAGAUGGAGCUGUCCAGCGAUUGAA